rnacentral:tRNA from 1 species
CCUUCGAUAGCUCAGUUGGUAGAGCGGAGGACUGUAGUGUGUUAAACGUCAUAGGCAUCCUUAGGUCGCUGGUUCGAAUCCGGCUCGAAGGA